ensembl:lncRNA
AUGAAUAUUAUAGAGGCUGAAGUCAUCAAGGAGAAAAUUAAACCAGCCUCUGUAAAGAAAGAACUUGAGAUAAUUAAAGAAAAACCCAAGCCAGCACCAAAGAAAGAGGCUGAAGUCAUCAAAGAGAAAGCUAAACCAGCUCCUGAAAAGAAAGAAGCUGAAGUCAAGGAGAAAGCUAAAGCAGCUCCUGUAAAGAAAGAGCCUGAAGUUGCUAAAGAAAAGGCUCCUGAACCAAAAUCCCAAAAAGAACCUGAAGUUGUUAAAGAGAAAGCUAAACCGGUCCCUAAGUUCAAAGAAGCUGAUAUCAUCAAGGAAAAAUCUAAACCAGCCCCUGAGAAGAAAGAGGCUGAAGCCAUCAAGGAAAAAGUUAAACCAGCUCCUGUAAAGAAAGAGCCUGAUGCUGUUAAAGAAAAGGCUCCUGAACGGAAACACAAAAUAGAGGCUGAAGUCAUCAAAGAGAAAGCUAAACCUGUCCCUAAGAAGAAAGAGGUGGAAAUUAUUGAGGAGAAAGUUAAACCAGCUCCUAUAAAGAAAGAGCCAGAGGUUCCUAAAGAAAAGACACUUGAAGCAACACCAGAACCUGCAAAGAGAGGUAUUAUAUGUGUGUUUUUCUGGUAA